CCUACGGGAGGCAGCAGUGGGGAAUAUUGCACAAUGGGGGAAACCCUGAUGCAGCGACGCCGCGUGAGUGAAGAAGUAAUUCGUUAUGUAAAGCUCUAUCAGCAGGGACGAAAAUGACGGUACCUGAGUAAGAAGCCCCGGCUAACUACGUGCCAGCAGCCGCGGUAAUACGUAGGGGGCAAGCCUUAGCCGGAUUUAAGGGGUGUAAAGGGAGCGUGGACGGCAGUGCAAGUCUGGAGUGAAAGGCGGGGGCCCAACCCCCGGUCUGCUCUGGGAACUGUACGGCUGGAGUGCAGGAGAGGUAAGUGGAAUUCCUAGUGUAGCGGUGAAAUGCGUAGAUAUUAGGAGGAACACCAGUGGCGAAGGCGGAUUGCUGGACAGUAACUGACGCUGAGGCGCGAAAGCGUGGGGAGCAAACAGGAUUAGAUACCCUGGUAGUC
rnacentral:rRNA from 1 species